UCAUUGUUUUCUUUACAGAUGUUCUCUACUAUAUUUACAUUCUUUAUAUUCAUUUAGCAUGACUUGCUGUCAGUUUUCAGUCUUUUCAUGCUUUGCAAUGACAAUUAAUCUCUCUUUAUAUUAUAGAAAAACCAACUUUUCUAUACAAAAAAUGCUGUAAUGUGAUCUCAUUUGACCUCACAUGCAUUCCAUUAAAUUCACAAAGAGAUUCAGCUCAACAGCCAGCUCUGCAGUCUGUACAGCUCUGAUAUUAAUCUUCAUUCUUUUCUUUAUAGAUAUUCUCUACUGUAUUUACAUUCUUUAUAUUCAUUUAGUAUAACUUACUGUC
rnacentral:sRNA from 1 species